rnacentral:rRNA from 1 species
UACGUAUGGUGCAAGCGUUAUCCGGAUUUACUGGGUGUAAAGGGAGCGCAGGCGGCGCGUUAAGCCUGGUGUGAAAGCCCGCGGCCCAACCGCGGGACUGCAUUGGGAACUGGCGCGCUGGAGUGCCGGAGGGGUAGGCGGAAUUCCUAGUGUAGCGGUGAAAUGCGUAGAUAUUAGGAGGAACACCAGUGGCGAAGGCGGCCUACUGGACGGUGACGGACGCUGAGGCUCGAAAGCGUGGGGAGCAAACAGG